rnacentral:rRNA from 1 species
UAGGGAAUAUUGGGCAAUGGACGAAAGUCUGACCCAGCCAUGCCGCGUGCAGGAUGAAGGCCCUCUGGGUUGUAAACUGCUUUUAUAAGAGAAGAAACCCCUCUUCGUGAAGAGGGCUGACGGUACCUUAUGAAUAAGGAUCGGCUAACUCCGUGCCAGCAGCCGCGGUAAUACGGAGGAUCCAAGCGUUGUUCGGAUUUAUUGGGUUUAAAGGGUGCGUAGGCGGAUUUUUAAGUCAGUGGUGAAAGCCUGUAGCUCAACUACAGAAUUGCCAUUGAAACUGAAAAUCUUGAGUAUAGUUGAGGUGGAUGGAAUGUUGCAUGUAGCGGUGAAAUGCUUAGAUAUGCAAUGGAACACCAAUAGCGAAGGCAGUUCACUAAACUAUUACUGACGCUGAGGCACGAAGGCGUGGGUAGCAAACA